rnacentral:piRNA from 1 species
UUUUCUUUUUUGUAAUCAAUU